UGGCCUAAAUUGCCAAAAUUGAAAUGAUUGGAUUAAAUUGCAAUUUUGCAAAAAGGUCUGUAUUUUUUUUUUUUUGAUCUGGCCUUCCAUAUAUUAUUUUUUUUUCCUUUUUAUUUUCUUUAUGUUGUUAAUUUGAUUCUAGAGGUGAACAAUGACUAUUAUUUUAUGUACUAGAUGGGCAUUGGGCAUUAUUUACUACUUCAGUUUUUCCUAACUUCAUAAUUUAUCUGUCAUCAAGUAAUGUCAGCAUUGUAUCAGAAUGCCAUGACCCAAUCCUUGCAAUAUCUGUUAUUUUUCCACUUUGACUAUAACGCACUCACACACAUACUCUGUAGAUGAUCUAGUGAAAACCAGCUUGCCAGUUAUGCCUUUUCAGUUCUCAUGGUCUUGGAAGCAAGACUUCUCAUUGUAUUAUUUCUAUAGAUGCAAUUAUACAUGCUUAAGGGUGCAUUUGCAGUAAUCAUUUGAAUGGCAAGCAAACUGAAUCUAGCAGCAUUGGCUAGUUGCACAUGCAUUUUUAGCAAUCUGAACCCAAGUUGUAAUUGUAUUAUAACUACAUUGAGCAUGUUUAUGCCUAGGUGGAAAAGAUGCCAUUGCUGACUGCCUGAGAGUGUUCCUGAAAUUAGAAACUUUAAGAAGAUCAUAUAUUAGUCCAAAGAAAUAUGAUGAGACUGGAUAGAUUUCACUGCUUAGUUACGUGACUGCCUUUUGAGGUUCUGCCCUUUUGAAAGGAGGAAUCCUUAUUGUCUGUCUUUUUAAGAUUCUGACACGCUGAUUGUAGAAUGAUAUAAAAGGAAAUUCUUUUUCCUGUUUGGCUGUUCACCCUUUUUCUUUCUCUCACUAUUUUUCUUUAAUAAAUAUUUUUAUGAUCUGUUUUCUGCUGUUUAGUUUUUCCUUUCUUCUCUCUUUGCCCUUUUCUUUAGCCCUGAAAUACAUUAUGGGAUGUUUCUCAUCUGUUGUACAAUGUUCCUUAGGAUUGAAUGGCUGGAAUUAUUU
rnacentral:misc_RNA from 1 species